AUCGCUUCUCGGCCUUUUGGCUAAGAUCAAGUGUAAAAGAUGAGUUAAAUCAAAUCUUUGACACGUGUUCAUUCUAUAUCUGCUUGAGAACUAUCUUACUUUCUUUUUUUUUUUUUUGUACCGGGGAGUGAACUCA
rnacentral:snRNA from 1 species